AAGAGCCCGUAAGGGGAAUUGUUUCUGCCAACCCCCAGCAGACCAGUCAGGCUCGUUUGAAAUGUCAAGUGAAGACGCGGCCCUGGAUCUGAAGCCAAAAUCGCUCUUCGCCAUCAGGAUUUUUGGCGUGUCACGCAAUCUGAACAACGACAGGGAGAUUGAACGCAGGAUGAAACCGUGAGCGACUUUGUGCAGACGAUUAGGCGUGUAUGGCGCAACGUGCACCAGGAAGAAAGACGCAAGCAUUGUGUUCAGUGUGGCGGAGACUCAUGCACGUCAUUACAAAAUUUGCAAAUGCUUUGAGAAAGACAAGUUGGACCGGAAGUGAGAAUCUAUGUGCUUUUUUUUUUUUUUUCAUUGUUGUUCAUCGUCCGAUCAUUGCGAAUUUUACGCCCGUGUGAGACGAGCGAUCAGGUGUGUUGAUGAUGACCCAGGCGAAAAUCUGGACUGGUCCCAGAAUGGUUCCAGUUGAAUCUGGACUGGUUCCAGUUGGAUGUUUGAUGGUCCCGGAAUGGUUCCAGUUGAAUGUGGAUGGUCCCAGGUGGAUUCCCAAGUGGAGUGGCUGGUUCCACUUUGCUGACAUCAGUGGUACCACUCUGGUCUCAGAUGG